UGGCCGAGUCGGUCUAAGGCGCCACGUUAAGGCCGUGGUCUCUUCGGAGGCGUGGGUUCGAAUCCC